rnacentral:pre_miRNA from 1 species
UUUUAAGUAUAAGUAUGUACCAUGCAACAUUUGGGAUAUACUUAUACUGAAA